CAGUCGCCGCGGGAAUACGUAGGGUGCAAGCGUUAAUCGGAAUUACUGGGCGUAAAGCGUGCGCAGGCGGUUUCGUAAGACAGAUGUGAAAUCCCCGGGCUCAACCUGGGAACUGCAUUUGUGACUGUAGAGCUCGAGUACGGCAGAGGGGGAUGGAAUUCCGCGUGUAGCAGUGAAAUGCGUAGAUAUGCGGAGGAACACCGAUGGCGAAGGCAAUCCCCUGGGCCUGUACUGACGCUCAUGCACGAAAGCGUGGGGAGCAAACAGGAUUAGAUACCCCAGUAGUCCCUGUCUCUUAUAC
rnacentral:rRNA from 1 species